rnacentral:misc_RNA from 1 species
AAGACUAUAGACCUGCGGAGUACCUGCGGAAGGAUCAUUACAGAGUGUUUAACCCCCUAUAAAAUGGUGGGUCUAACCUCCCGUCCUUUGCUGGGUCCCCCUUCUGGAGGACUUUCAAAACUUUCUGCUUCGGCGGGGUAUACCCGCCGGAACACCCUCAAAAAAUUCUUGAUCAAAAUGGUUCGGUCCGAGAAACUUUUUGUGAAAAUUAGCGAAAAACUUUCAACAACGGAUCUCUAG